rnacentral:rRNA from 1 species
AGAGUUUGAUCAUGGCUCAGAACGAACGCUGGCGGCAUGCCUAACACAUGCAAGUCGAACGGGAUCCAGGCUUCGGCCUGGUGAGAGUGGCGGACGGGUGAGUAACGCGUGGGAACCUGCCCAAUGGUCUGGGAUAACCGCGGGAAACUGCGGCUAAUACCGGAUAAGCCCGAGAGGGGAAAGAUUUAUCGCCGAUGGAGGGGCCCGCGUCCGAUUAGGUAGUUGGUGAGGUAAUGGCUCACCAAGCCUACGAUCGGUAGCUGGUCUGAGAGGAUGAUCAGCCGCACUGGGACUGAGAUACGGCCCAGACUCCUACGGGAGGCAGCAGUGGGGAAUAUUGGACAAUGGGGGCAACCCUGAUCCAGCAAUGCCGCGUGAGUGAUGAAGGCCUUAGGGUUGUAAAGCUCUUUUGCCAGGGACGAUGAUGACGGUACCUGGAGAAUAAGCCCCGGCUAACUUCGUGCCAGCAGCCGCGGUAAUAC